AAGACUGACGCUCAGGUGCGAAAGCGUGGGGAGCAAACAGGAUUAGAUACCUGGUAGUCACGCUGUAAACGAUGUCGAUUUGGAGGUUGUUCCCUUGAGGAGUGGCUUCCGGAGCUAACGCGUUAAAUCGACCGCUGGGGAGUACGGCCGCAAGGUUAAAACUCAAAUGAAUUGACGGGGGCCCGCACAAGCGGUGGAGCAUGUGGUUUAAUUCGAUGCAACGCGAAGAACCUUACCUACUCUUGACAUCCAGAGAAUUUAGCAGAGAUGCUUUAGUGCCUUCGGGAACUCUGAGACAGGUGCUGCAUGGCUGUCGUCAGCUCGUGUUGUGAAAUGUUGGGUUAAGUCCCGCAACGAGCGCAACCCUUAUCCUUUGUUGCCAGCACGUUAUGGUGGGAACUCAAAGGAGACUGCCGGUGAUAAACCGGAGGAAGGUGGGGAUGACGUCAAGUCAUCAUGGCCCUUACGAGUAGGGCUACACACGUGCUACAAUGGCGUAUACAAAGAGAAGCGACCUCGCGAGAGCAAGCGGAACUCAUAAAGUACGUCGUAGUCCGGAUUGGAGUCUGCAACUCGACUCCAUGAAGUCGGAAUCGCUAGUAAUCGUAGAUCAGAAUGCUACGGUGAAUACGUUCCCGGGCCUUGUACACACCGCCCGUCACACCAUGGGAGUGGGUUGCAAAAGAAGUAGGUAGCUUAACCUUCGGGAGGGCGCUUACCACUUUGUGAUUCAUGACUGGGGUGAAGUCGUAACAAGGUAACCA
rnacentral:rRNA from 1 species